rnacentral:rRNA from 1 species
AGAGUUUGACCCUGGCUCAGGAUUAACGCUGGCAGAAUGCCUAACACAUGCAAGUCGAACGGAUCUUGCUGAUUGACGAUGGAGAGCUUGCUCAAAGUCUGAUUGAAGCGCUGAUUAGUGGCGAACGGGCGAGUAACGCGUAUUCAAUCUCCCUCCGAGUUGAGGAAAACUAUAGAGAUAUAGCUAAUCCUCAAUGGUCUCAUAUGAAUGAAAAUAGUAUGAGUAAAGGUUUACCGCUUGGAGAAGAGGAUGCGUCCUAUCAGGUAGUUGGCGGGAUAAAAGCCCACCAAGCCUAUGACGGGUAGCCGGUCUGAGAGGAUGGUCGGCCGCAAUGGGACUGAGACACGGCCCAUACCCCUACGGGGGGCAGCAGUGGGGAAUCUUGGACAAUGGACGAAAGUCUGAUCCAGCAAUUCUGCGUGCGGGAUGAAGGUCUAUGGAUCGUAAACCGCUUUUCUGAAGGAAGACGAAUGACGGUACUUCAGGAAUAAGCGACGGCUAACUUCGUGCCAGCAGCCGCGGUAAUACGAAGGUCGCAAGCGUUAUCCGGAGUUACUGGGCGUAAAGAGUUCGUAGCUGGUCUAGUAAGUCUGAUUUUAAAGACUCUGUCUCAAGCAGAGGAAGGGGUCAGAUACUGCUAUUCUGGAGAUAACUGGGGGUUAGUGGAAUUACCGGUGGAGGGGUGAAAUCCGUUGAUAUCGGUAGGAACGCCAAAAGCGAAAGCAACUAACUAUGGUUUUCUGACAGUCAAGAACGAAAGCUCGGGGAUCAAACGGGAUUAGAUACCCCGGUAGUCCGAGCCGUAAAUUAUGUCUGCUAAGUGUUUGGGCUUAUACCCCAAGUGCUGUUACCUAACGGGUUAAGCAGAUCGCCUGGGUAGUAUACUCGCAAGAGUGAAACUCAAAGGGAUAGGCGGGGGAACACACAAGAGGUGGAUUGUCUCGAGUAAUUGGAUAAUAAGCCAGAAAUCUUACCUUCACUUGACAUGCUAUGUGUCAUACGGGUGAUCCGUAUUACCCUUCGGGGGCGUAGCACAGUUGGUGCAUGGUUGUCGUCAGUUCGUGCCUCAAGGUGUCGGGUUAAUUCUCGAAACGAACGCAACCCUCAUCCUAUGUUACUAUGUCAUAGGAGACUGCCCGGGUAACCGGGAGGAAGGUGUGGAUGACGUCAAAUCCUCAUGCUACUUACGUGGAGGGCUUCAGAGGCAAUACAAUGGGGUGGUACAAUCAGAAGCAAGGGGGCGACCGGGAGCAAAUCUAUAAAACACCCCUUAGUGCGGAUUGUAGUCUGGAACUCGACUACAUGAAGUAGGAAUCUCUAGUAAUGGCAAAUCAGCAAGUUGCCGUGAAUAUGUCCCUGUUCCUUGCACUCACUGCCCGUCAAACUAUGAAAGCUGAGGCGCGUUGAAGCAUCGCAAUGCGGUACGAAACGUGAAUCAGUGAUUGGAGUUAAGUCGUAACAAGGCAUCCCUACGGGAACGUGGGGAUA